rnacentral:rRNA from 1 species
ACGGAUGAGAAGCUUGCUUCUCUGAUGUUAGCGGCGGACGGGUGAGUAACACGUGGAUAACCUACCUAUAAGACUGGGAUAACUUCGGGAAACCGGAGCUAAUACCGGAUAAUAUUUUGAACCGCAUGGUUCAAAAGUGAAAGACGGUCUUGCUGUCACUUAUAGAUGGAUCCGCGCUGCAUUAGCUAGUUGGUAAGGUAACGGCUUACCAAGGCAACGAUGCAUAGCCGACCUGAGAGGGUGAUCGGCCACACUGGAACUGAGACACGGUCCAGACUCCUACGGGAGGCAGCAGUAGGGAAUCUUCCGCAAUGGGCGAAAGCCUGACGGAGCAACGCCGCGUGAGUGAUGAAGGUCUUCGGAUCGUAAAACUCUGUUAUUAGGGAAGAACAUAUGUGUAAGUAACUGUGCACAUCUUGACGGUACCUAAUCAGAAAGCCACGGCUAACUACGUGCCAGCAGCCGCGGUAAUACGUAGGUGGCAAGCGUUAUCCGGAAUUAUUGGGCGUAAAGCGCGCGUAGGCGGUUUUUUAAGUCUGAUGUGAAAGCCCACGGCUCAACCGUGGAGGGUCAUUGGAAACUGGAAAACUUGAGUGCAGAAGAGGAAAGUGGAAUUCCAUGUGUAGCGGUGAAAUGCGCAGAGAUAUGGAGGAACACCAGUGGCGAAGGC